UGACCUCAACUCAGUCGUGAUUACCCGCUGAAUUUAAGCAUAUAACUAAGCGGAGGAAAAGAAACUAACGAGGAUUUCCCUAGUAACGGCGAGUGAAAAGGAAAAAGCCCAACGCUGAAUCCAAUAGACAUUAUAUGGCUAUAUGGAAAUGUAGCGUAUAGGUAUAACUAUCCGUAACAUAUUUUUACACCCAAAGUCCCCUUGAGCGGGGCUACAGUCCAUAGAAGGUGCUAGACCUGUACGGGUGAAAAAAGUUACGGUAGGUUAUUCCUUGGAGUCGGGUUGUUUGAGAUUGCAGCCCAAAGAGGGUGGUAAACCUCAUCUAAGGCUAAAUACGACCAUGAGACCGAUAGCAAACAAGUACCGUGAGGGAAAGUUGCAAAGAACUUUGAAGAGAGAGUUCAAGAGGGCGUGAAACCGCUGAGAUGGAAACGGAUAGAGUUAACAAAACUUAUCGGUAUUCAACCAAUCAAUUUAGCAAUCAUAAUUCAUUUCAUUAUUCAUUAAUAAUUUUUUUUUUUUUAUUAAUGAAUAAAAUGAUAUUAAUGCUAAAUUAGCAGUAUAUGCAUAGAUUGGUGUAUUUACCGAUUGGUAUGCAUCGAGAACUUCAUUUUAGCAUA
rnacentral:ncRNA from 1 species